rnacentral:rRNA from 1 species
UACGUAGGUGGCAAGCGUUGUCCGGAUUUAUUGGGUUUAAAGGGUGCGUAGGCGGUCUAUUAAGUCAGUUGUGAAAUACGGCAGCUCAACUGUCGAGGUGCAAUUGAUACUGAUGGACUUGAGUACUGAUGAGGUAAGCGGAAUGGACGGUGUAGCGGUGAAAUGCUUAGAUAUCGUCCAGAACACCGAUAGCGAAGGCAGCUUACUAAGGAGUAACUGACGCUGAGGCACGAAAGUGUGGGGAUCAAACGGG